CAAAGUGUAGCUUAAACAAAAGCAUCCGGCCUACACCCGGAAGAUUUCAAACACUAUGACCACUUUGA